rnacentral:rRNA from 1 species
GUAAUGUGGCCUUUCCUUCGGGACAGGGAUGACAGGUGGUGCAUGGUUGUCGUCAGCUCGUGUCGUGAGAUGUUGGGUUAAGUCCCGCAACGAGCGCAACCCCUAUCUUUAGUAGCCAGCGGUUCGGCCGGGCACUCUAAGAGACUGCCAGGGAUAACCUGGAGGAAGGUGGGGAUGACGUCAAAUCAUCAUGCCCCUUAUGAGCAGGGCUACACACGUGCUACAAUGGCGUAAACAAAGGGAGGCAGAAACCGCGAGGUCGAGCAAAUCCCAAAAAUAACGUCUCAGUUCGGAUUGUAGUCUGCAACUCGACUACAUGAAGCUGGAAUCGCUAGUAAUCGCGAAUCAGAAUGUCGCGGUGAAUACGUUCCCGGGGCCUUGUAC